rnacentral:rRNA from 1 species
AAUAGAUACCCGGGUAGUCCACGCUGUAAACGAUGAGUGCUAGGUGUAGGAGGUAUCGACACCUUCUGUGCCGCAGUAAACGCAAUAAGCACUCCGCCUGGGGAGUACGGUCGCAAGACUAAAACUCAAAGGAAUUGACGGGGGCCCGCACAAGCAGCGGAGCAUGUGGUUUAAUUCGAAGCAACGCGAAGAACCUUACCAGGGCUUGACAUCUACCUAACACUGUAGAGAUACGGUGGUGCCUUUCGGGGAAAGGUAGGACAGGUGGUGCAUGGUUGUCGUCAGCUCGUGUCGUGAGAUGUUGGGUUAAGUCCCGCAACGAGCGCAACCCUUGUCAUUAGUUGCUAACAGUAAGAUGAGCACUCUAAUGAGACUGCCGGGGACAACUCGGAGGAAGGUGGGGAUGACGUCAAAUCAUCAUGUCCCUUAUGUCCUGGGCUACACACGUGCUACAAUGGCUAGAACAAUGAGAUGCAAGAUGGCAACAUGGAGCAAAUCUUAAAAACUAGUCCCAGUUCGG